rnacentral:rRNA from 1 species
GAUGAACGCUGGCGGCGUGCCUAAUACAUGCAAGUCGAGCGAACGGACGAGAAGCUUGCUUCUCUGAUGUUAGCGGCGGACGGGUGAGUAACACGUGGAUAACCUACCUAUAAGACCGGGAUAACUUCGGGAAACCGGAGCUAAUACCGGAUGAUAUUUUGAACCGCAUGGUUCAAAAGUGAAAGACGGUCUUGCUGUCACUUAUAGAUGGAUCCGCGCUGCAUUAGCUAGUUGGUAAGGUAACGGCUUACCAAGGCAACGAUGCAUAGCCGACCUGAGAGGGUGAUCGGCCACACUGGAACUGAGACACGGUCCAGACUCCUACGGGAGGCAGCAGUAGGGAAUCUUCCGCAAUGGGCGAAAGCCUGACGGAGCAACGCCGAGUGAGUGAUGAAGGUCUUCGGAUCGUAAAACUCUGUUAUUAGGGAAGAACAUAUGUGUAAGUAACUGUGCACAUCUUGACGGUACCUAAUCAGAAAGCCACGGCUAACUACGU